UACGGGGGGGGCAAGCGUUGUUCGGAAUUACUGGGCGUAAAGGGCUUGUAGGUGGCCAACUAAGUCAGACGUGAAAUCCCUCGGCUUAACCGGGGAACUGCGUCUGAUACUGGAUGGCUUGAGUGUGGGAGAGGGAUGCGGAAUUCCAGGUGUAGCGGUGAAAUGCGUAGAUAUCUGGAGGAAUACCGGUGGCGAAGGCGGCAUCCUGGACCGACAUUGACGCUGAGGAGCGAAAGCUAGGGGAGCAAACGGG
rnacentral:rRNA from 1 species